CAGGACCUUGCGCUUGUGAGGCAGGCAGCAGAACCACUGAGCUAAAUCCUUGGCAGCCAGUCGUCUUUUAAGGAACUGAGAUUUCAUUUUCCUUGGCUGCAUUCUGAUGCUGGCUCCCCUGAAGUAACUGCUGUUCCAGAUUUUUCUGCUCAAGGGCCUGGCACAUCAUAGGCACACACUGAAUGCUUGAUUAACAGAUGGAUGGAUCGGAGGACAUGGCACUAGUGG